rnacentral:lncRNA from 1 species
GGGUUGUCUCUGUUCUCCCUCUUCUCUCUUCCCACACCUUACCAAUCACUAUUAAUUUCAUUUCCUAUGUAUUUAUCAAGUCAUCUACUUUGUUCCCCCCAUUGUGAUUUCUUUUUAUUAGGGGCUGAUCAUUUUUGGCUUAAAGUAUUGGUGUAACGUCUUGGGGUAGCCAAUCUGCAAGCUCGCCCCCAGCAAUCCCUGCCUCCUGGUGUUUACCCUGGUGUGAGAACUUCCUACUCCCAUAUCUUAUCAGUUGACAUGUCUUGAGGUUAUGCUGGCAGCCCUAUGCAGAGGCUCAUGUCGUAAGGAACUGAGGCCACAGUGAAGAUCCAGUGAGGAAGUAAGGCCUCUUGUCAACAGCCACACACAUACAACGGGAAGUGGAUCCUUUAUUCCCAGUCAAGCCUUUGCAUGAUGUGGCCCUGCUAGCAUCUUGAUUACAGUCUCAUGAGAGAACUCAAACAAGGCCAUGCAACUAAGCUGCUCCUGAAUUCCUGGACCACAGAAACGAUGAGAUAAUAACCGUUUCUUGUUUUAUGUCACUAAGUUUAGGGAUAAUUUGUUAUACAAUGAUAUAGUUUGGCUGUGUCCCCACCCAAAUCUCAUCUUGAAUUGUAACUCCCAUAAUUCCCAUGUGUUGUGGGAGGGACCCAUUGGGAGAUGAUUGAAUCUUUGGGAGUGGUUUCCCUCACACUGUUCUUAUGGUAGUGAAUAAGUCUCAUGAGAUCUGAUGGUUUUGUAAGGUUUCCCUUUUCAAUUGGUUCUCAUUCUCUCUUGCCACCACCAUGUAAGAAGUACAUUUCGCCUUCCACCAUGAUUGUGAGGCCUCCCCAGCCAUGUGGAACUGUGAGUCUGUUAAACCUCUUUUUCCUCCCAGUCUCAGGUAUGUAUUUAUCAGCAGUGUGAAAAUGGACUAAUACAUACAAGAGAAAACAUAAUAUACUUCUUGAAAUAUCUUUCCAUUGUACAGUCCUACAGCCCUGAUUCUUCCCUAUUAUAAAAUGAAUGAUAUUUGUGAUCUUGUUCAAUGACCAUUUUUCCUUCUAAGUUAUCAACUGUCGGAGGUCAGAGGCCAUGUGACCUUAAAAGUUACUUUACCCUUCAGUUUUUUAUCGAUAAAACAAAAGUUGCCAUGAAGUUUAAAUGCAUAUUAAUAAAGCACAUGAAAUGAUGCUAAAGACUAAAAAAUACUCAGUG